GGGGGUGACCAGGGUUCGACGGGGAUAGUUGAUACCAAAGCCGCAGGUCGAGCGACCCAAUGACUCGUUAAUCCAUCGGGACUAAACACAAAAGCAGACUCUACUGAGUACGCUCUGGCUGCUUAAGCCAGCGUUUCUGGGGAUAUGCGGCCCACAGAUCCCCAGGGGCGUAGCUAAACGGGCUGGUCUUAUUAGGUGGUAACUAGCCUAAUUUGAUAAGAAAACUCUAGUUUCUCGCUCCGAAGUCACCUGUCCGCUGGCGGCCGACGAGUUAAAACCAAAUAACGGAACAAACCUGUAGAAACUUUGGGGGAAGAUCUUCGGACGCGGGUUCAAUUCCCGCCACCUCCACCA
rnacentral:tmRNA from 1 species